CAGCAGCCGCGGUAAUACGGACCGUGCGAACGUUAUUCGGAAUCACUGGGCGUAAAGCGCGUGUAGGCGGCUCAGCAAGUCCGCUCUGAAAGCCCAGGGCUCAACCCUGGGAUGCGGGUGGAUACUGCUGAGCUCGAGUCCGGAAGAGGCGAGUGGAAUUCCUGGUGUAGCGGUGAAAUGCGCAGAUAUCAGGAGGAACACCAAUGGCGAAGGCAGCUCGCUGGGACGUGACUGACGCUGAGACGCGAAAGCGUGGGGAGCAAACAGGAUUAGAUACCCGCGUAGUCCCUGUCUCUUAUAC
rnacentral:rRNA from 1 species